GUGGAAACGCGCCGCGGGCUUUUCUUUCCGUUGCUGCCUCCCACAAGUCCUGCUUUGUUUGAUUCCUCCUUUUCAACUAUGAUUCCACGAGUGAAGAACUUGUCUGAGGUCAUGCUAAUGCAGACAACGCCGUGGCUAUUUGCAUGGAGGGCAUAACCUUUGACUUAACCCACUGCAUGCCUGCAGCAGUGACAGGAACAUCUGGAAAAAAUGUGCUUGGCUAUCCUCAUGUGCCUCAAGUCUUCCGGACCAUAGCAAACAUAAGGUCUCUCUCUCUUUUUCCCAUCAACAUUAUUGGAUCGCUGGCUCUCAGCCACAGUAUUAAGCCAUAGAGUCCCCCCGGCACUGGAAUACAAGUAUGUCUGACGGACUGACAAUUCAAAAGACAAGAUGGGUGGACAAAAACACAAGACAAAAUAACACAUUUUUAUGGAAAAAGAAGAGUAAGGGCAGUAAGGACAACAGUGCAACCUGUACCAGUCGGAGAAAUGAACAGUAUGGAGAGGGAUGUGGUGACAAAGAAAGAUGGAGGGAAGAGCGAAGAGGAAAGCAGAGGGCAGAACCAGCAGGAGAGAGCAGGAGAAAAGGGAAAAAGCAAUGGAUAGAUGGGGUGGAUUGUGUGCAAAAGUGUGAUGCUGAGUUUGGCUGGCUUACAGACCCUCUCCAUAAUUCAUCUGAGUUCUCUUCCUGGCUGAGCCUACAGGCUGUCUGCCACUCAACCCAAGAGCAUCUUUUAAUUAAUGUGAGGUGGGGACUCAGAAAUCCCCAAAACCCUCAGUUUCUCCUGGAUAAGCCUGUAAGGGCUCUCUCUUUUGUCAGCUAUUUUCCUAAGACACCCUGUUUUAAUGUUUGUAUGAGUAAUGAUGAUGAUCUGUGUGUGGCACAUGCAGUUUCCCAAGUGUGUGUUCCAUGUUCAUACAAGCCUCAUUUAUAAAUGACCAUUCUAUUCUUAUGAACAAUUAAGUACAAUUAAAAGUCCAUUUAAAGGCCCUAUUAAAAUCAAAUUGGAGUUUUGUGGCUUUUAGUUCAUGUCUAUUAACUUUUGAGGUCAUCUAUAGUACCAUUCAAAAGUUCAGUUUUAGUAAGAUUUUAAGCAAGGAUGCAUUAA